AGCUCGACAGAGGACGCAGCUCAUGAAUCUCCGGAAAGAACUGAACAUCGCAGAGAAUGUGGAACUGCACGAAGGUUGUUAACGACGCCUCGCUUCGAUGUCCCGACAUAAACUUGGAAACCGACAUCAAGCACUAUGGCUGCUGUGGCACGGAAGCAGUGUGGUGUGUAGGUCUUAAUGCACUUUGACGACUUAUCGGCCAUACAUCCUGUGAACGACCUUUUUGCUAAAGCCUAAUGUCAUCGUCUAGCAGUAGGUACAAUUCCGCAUCACCGAUGACCAAGGUGAAGUAGCAGACGAAAUUUUAGACAUACAUUAGGCCUAGUAGGCUAGUAACUAAAGACAUUGUUUACAGUUAUGAUUUUAUCAAUUAUUGAUGAAAGUCCACUGCUUGGAAUACAAAUAAAACCGUAAAUA